UGAAAAGAAAAAUCAUCCUAAUUGGUUGAGAUUCAUCAGCUGACACAAAAAUGGCGCCGUUGGCGGUGGAGUUUUGGCGUCGAGAAAACAUUGAGAAGUUUCAUUUAAAUAAACCCAGACAUGACGAGGCCUGGACCACUCAUGAAGAUGUUACCCUGAGACAUGGGUUCAUCAGAAAGAUCAAGUUAACAUCUAACGGACUGAAACCUUUGUGAAGACGGUUGUGACAAUUUCAGCGUCAAACACAAACAGUGAGCAGUAUGGACGUGUUGCUGUACUUCUUGCUGGUCUCUGAGCCCAGAGUGACGAACCUGAGCAGGAACAGAGACAGACUGGAGCACCAGAUCACCAGCUCCCAGUUAUAGUGAUACUCCAGGAAUGUCUCGUGGACGUGGAGCAGCUGAAAGAAGACAUGUUCAUGUGGCUCUUUUGUUACCUGGGCGCAGCAGAUGAAGACGACUGACAGAGUGAGCAGGAAGGCAGACGACACGAUGACAUCCACUGAACGCUGAGGACCUCGUCUCUGCAAAUGAAGCCUAAAAUGUGGGACUUCAGACUUCCUGGCUCUGCGGGCUGACGUCAGGUGGCCGAACAGUUUAGCAAAAAGAAGCCUCUGAAAAUCCACAAGAGAAAGAUUUAACAUUCUGGUAAAGGACAUGAAUACAGGGAUUUUAGAUGAAGAAGUAGUACCUGUUUGUAGGUUCUCUCUGCUACACUCAGCAAAAAGAAGAAGAGCCAUAUGAGGCAAACCCGCACCAGGAAGCUAAGCGUAACCAUGGUAAUAACCAGAGCAUCUGAUCCCGAGCCUCCACCAAAAGCCACAGACAACAGCUCGUUUGCUGAGAGCGAGGUCAGCUGGUCCACGUCGCAGUACUGAGCCAGCCUGCAGGAGGAAGAGUCUGUCAGACGAUGUCAAGGUGCGGCAUGUUUCCAGUUUGUGUCUGCAGUACCUGUAAACGAAGGGCGUGAGUCCCAGCGUGACAGAAACCAGGUUCCCAAAGACCUGAUAGCCGAUACCCGGAGUGUACAGAUUAACCUGAACAGAGACGAAACACUUGUUACUAACAUGUUCUAUGUUUACAUCCUCAAUGCUCUACCACGGAUAGAGUCUUACUCUAUUCAUGAUCAUGCCACUGAUCUCCAGAACAGACAUGUCUGCUUUCUUGCACUCGUUUCCCUCCCACACGAUGGCGCUCACUCUCUCCAGACCAGGGUUGGAGCUGUGCAGCCAGGGAAUGUGACCCUGCAGGAGCGAGAUCCAUCAAAACAGAGCAAUCCCAUAAUGCUGAAGUUCUAGAAAUCCAUGUCGACAAACCUGAUGGAAAGGGUCGUCCCUGUAUUCCUUCUUGUUGAGAGGACAUGCAGGAGUUCCUGCUGCUUCUCCCUCUGAAGCAAACAACAGCAUUAACAAACCACUACCUUUGAGCUCGACUGAAGCUCUGUGUUUGUUCUCACCGGUCUCUGAUGUGCAGGAGGAUCUACACUCGGCACAGUGUAAGAAGUCUUCCCACAUCAAGUCUUCAGUCUCUGACUCAUGCCGAGUGCUCUCUGAGUCAUGAGUCCUCAGACUAGAACAUCUGGAGCUGCAGCUGGUUCCAGACUUUGGGACAUCCUGAAAACCAGGAAAUGUAUUAGAUUUUUUCCAAGUAUCUGGACGUAUCUAAUUUAAAUAAACAGUUACCUCCA